UGCUCGUGCGUCAAUAGCUGCUUCACCUU
rnacentral:sRNA from 1 species